rnacentral:rRNA from 1 species
CCUACGGGUGGCAGCAGUGAGGAAUAUUGGUCAAUGGACGAAAGGCUGAACCAGCCAAGCCGCGUGAAGGAAGAAGGCGCUAUGGGUGGUAAACUGCUUUUAUAGGGGAAUAAAGGUAGCCACGUGUGGAGACUUGCAUGUACCCUAUGAAUAAGCAUCGGCUAACUCCGUGCCAGCAGCCGCGGUAAUACGGAGGAUGCGAGCGUUAUCCGGAUUUAUUGGGGUUAAAGGGUGCGUAGGUGGUUUUUUAAGUCAGAGGUGAAAGUUUGUUGCUCAACCAUAAAAUUGCCGUUGAAACUGUUAGACUUGAGUGUAUUUGCGGUAGGCGGAAUGCGUGGUGUAGCGGUGAAAUGCUUAGAUAUCACUCAGAACUCCGAUUGCGAAGGCAGCUUACUAAGCUAUAUCUGCCACUGAGGCACGAAAGCGUGGGUAUCAAACAGGAUUAGAUACCCUAGUAGUC